UUUCUACUUCUGGAGACCAGAACGAUGACAUGUGUGUUGCGGUCGGUUCCAUUGUUGCAACCUCUGAUGUCUGAAGGAUGGCCCAUCACAGUCUUGACUGCAAGUCUGAUCUUCACGAAGUGAUAUACGCAAAAUAAAAUAAAAUAAAAUAAAAUGCUCGACCUCUGAUCUCGAACGCAAAUGACAUAUGCUCUGCUGUAGUGGUGCCUCUGAAGAUGGUCCAGCAGAGUCUUGAAAUGCAAAUGCAAAUGCAAAUGCCCAUCCUAAACCUGGGAGAGCUUCAAGAUUGCCCACUGGUGAACAGUCACCACUCACCACUGCCUUAGGGUUGCUGUUCACCAUUCACCAACCAGGAGAUGAGAAGUACUGCCAGGACCAUUACCUGCC
rnacentral:lncRNA from 1 species